rnacentral:lncRNA from 1 species
GCCUUGAUUUUUUAACAGGCCAAGGAAGAGGAGUCCAGAGCUGGCAAUGAAAGCGAUGACUCUGAGCAUCAAGAGGAAUAGUGCCCGAGGCUACUAGGGGUUGUAGUGGUUGUAGUGUAGUACAGUGAAACAUUUGGUGCCUAUUUGUCCUGGAUGUAAAUUGUGGCUGACUUGGUUGCGAACUGUGGUCUAAACAUUGCUGAAUGGCUGCGUUGAUUAUCUUAGCUUUUGAUUUGUGUAUUUUCGUGAAUUUCUUUACUUCGAGCUUGAUUGCCCGUGGGAUUUUCUUGGUUUUGCAACGAAAUUCGAAGCAUAAAGGAGCGAGCGUCGUGUUUCUUUUGGAAAAAUGUCACCCCCCUGCUCCUUUAUGCGGAGAUGUUUUUUGGGAUUGUUGAGCAUCAGCGUUUAUGUAUGCGUUGAAAAAUCAUUGUUGGAACUGAGGCAAAAUCCUAAGAACAAAGGGACGAGAAGUUUUUUCUUUUUGAAAAAAUGACACCCCCCCUUACCCUUUGUGUGAGGGUUUGCUUCUUUGUGCGAAGCUGUUUACACAUUUGCGGUUUCAGAGUUUUGGGGUUUCUAGGCCCCGUGCUUAGCUGUGUGAUGAGAAACCAUUGUUAGGUUUUUGGCAAAAUCCCGAGGGCAAUGGGAUGAUCAACAUUUUAUUUCUGAAAAAGUGUCAACCCCCC